GCUUUCCCCCUGUUCCCAGCUUUGGACUGUUACCCAAGCAAGCCAUUCGUUCACAAAUAUUAUUAAGCACCUACGAUGUGCCUGGCAAGGGAGUUGUAACAAAAUUUCCUGUCUGCUCCGCUCUGGUUGAAGAAACCAGUCCGACUGUCUCUGAGGCUAUGGAGCAGUCCAUCAGGAAUGAAAGCCCUCGGCCAGGCACGUUGGCUCACACCUGUAAUACCAGCACUUUGGGAGGGCGAGGCAGGUGGAUUACUUGAAGUCAGGAGUUGGACACCAGCAUGGCCAACAUGGUGAAACCCUGUCUCUACAAAAAGUAAGAAACUCUGCUAUCCACAGGCAUGUCUUACAGUCAUGGCUGGCUGCCUCUCUCUGAGAACUGGGACUCCUGAACUUGGUGAAAUACCUCAGCCAUCGAUCAUGUUGAAUUAUCGGGGACACUCAUUUAAAAUCCGAGCCUGUUCCAGAUGGACUCUCUCUCUUUCUGCCCUGACUGUGAGAGAAGCCCUGCUGGAAGGUGGAGACACUCGUGGGCUGUGAGCAAGGGAUGCAAAGACUGCCGGGAAUCCUGUCUUUCCAGCAUCAUCUGCCAAGGCACAUCAGUUCCUGGGUAUCUUGAUGGGUUCUGGCAGCAUUACUGUCAUCGAAAGAAAACAUUUUAGCCAUAUUAAAGGUUAAUGCAGCAAUCUCCACACAGCCUGCCUGGAAGGGACACGGGACAAAGGUAGAUUUUCCCUGUGAUGGACAGGAGGCAGGCGGCCCUCCCACAGCCCUGCCUGGCAAUGCAGAUGUGUCCCCAAAAGGCACUGAGGGCCAGCUGGAGUGCUGUGCUGAGGCGAGCUGACCCGGGCCGUGGGUUCACUCUGAUUGCAGCGGUUUCCUGCCAGCUCCCUGGAGAGCUGACAGAUGGCCCAGCCCCACAGCAGGAACCUCGAAUGGCAGAACGACAUACAACAAUUUGAUAUCCACGUGCCAGAAGAGCCGGGUGUCGUCAGUCGCCUGGCUCUGCGCCCAACCUCUUUUUGCAUAAACACUUAUGAAUUCAGCCAAGAGGAAAAGCACUCUGAUUAUGAAUUGAGCAGAAGGAAACAAAGUUCUGCAGAUAAACACCAAUGAGACAAAAAACCACGAAUAAGAAAAAUGAUGGAAAAGGAGAACCUUCCCAGAAGCCUCCUGCCAGUGAACGGCCACCAUAGCAAGAGCAUGGAGGCCCUGGGUUUUGAACUGUGAGAUAAGGAAGAUGAUGAAAACCUCCCUAGCAGCCAGGCAAGCACAAGAUUCCUGUGAAAUCCGGUCUAAGUGUUUUGACCACAGAAGUAAUAUUAUGUCAUAGGUGAGAGCUGUGAGUUGCUGAACCCAAAGUGAGUUCAAAUCCGAGUUCUGCCUCCUGCUACCUGUGUGACUUUGAGAAGUUCCAGCACCGCUUUGUGCCUCAGUUUUCUCAUCUGUUAAAUGGGCAUAAUCACAGCUCCUGCCUCAGAGUUGCUGUAAAUUAAUACAUGUAAAGCAGUGAAAUCAGCCUGGUAUA
rnacentral:lncRNA from 1 species